GCCCCCAGCCCAGUAGACAAUAGGCACCAGAGGGAAGGUGAGCCCGGUGAGCAAGGCAGUGCACCGACUUGUAACGUGCAGUCCAACGUGACGGGGACCCUGCCUGUAAGAGGAGAUGUACGCAGCCUCACAGGGCCGAAGCCAACUCACAAUGAGGUGACGGGCACGGUUCGGUCCUCUUGAGCUGUCCUUGUAGGUAAUCUCUGAGUAAUAAAAGGAUCAGCAUCCAAGCACUGAGCUUUUUUGGUUGCAGGUGCCAUCCGGCUAACCUUUGGGAGCAGAUGAGCAUUGGAGGUGAGUCAGGGAGGCAGCAGGAGGAGCAGGGAUCCACUGCAGCUUCAGAAAUGCCCUCUAAUUUUGUCUCUCCCUCCCUCAGGUAUCCCGGAAGAUGACAGCCACAGCGUGUGACUCCAGUCAGAGCCAGUGACCCGAGGACCUGCCUCAGUGACAGUGAGUAGAGGGAUCUUUGGGGCUGGGGCCACGUGCCACACUACUCAGACAUUGUGUAUGGUUUUCUUUCUCGUAGUUGACUCUGAGUGAUCUCAUGAUGACAGGAACCUCUGAGCCAGCCCAGGUGCCCCUCCUUUGCAUCAGAGAUGGAUUCACAUCCCCAGCUCUCGGAAAGAUAAGUGCAGGGCAACGACCCAGAGAGGGGUGGGGAGUCGGUCCAAGCAUGUGCAUCGCAUGGAGGGAUUUUUGAAAUUAAUAUGAUUCAAUGGGUAUCCUAUAGCAGGUUAUUUGGACACAUCAAAGGAAGGGCUUACUUUGUAUCAUUGGAUUCACAUGUGCAGGGCAGAGCAGUUCCAGUCUGUGUCACGUCCUUUGUCUUGUCCGUGUUUUGU